UUUGGGCCGAAAAUGUAAAAUUCACGGAAAAUGGGCCAAAAAUGUAAACUUUUGCCAAAUAAGGGCUGGAAAUGUCAAUAAUUUAAUUUUGAGCUGAAAUUGUAAUUUAAAUUAUAAUUGGGCCGAGAAUGCCAAGUAAAAUGACUUAAAGGACUAAAAAUGUCAUUUUUCAUCAAAAUGGACUAACAAUGUCAUUUUAUACUAAGAAGGGGCUGAAAAUGUAAUUUCACGUGAAAAGGGGCUAAAAUGGUCGAAUAAAUAUCUUGAGUCAAAUGUGUCAAUUAUUAAACAAUUGGGCCAAGGAUAUAAAUUCUUAUAAGGAUUUAAAAAUGGUAUAUAUUUUUUUUAUAAACUAAUACGAGUAAUAUCGUUAUAGAUCAAACGUUGGGUAUUUUAACAUGUAACAACAGCAAAAUUCAGGUCAAAAUUUAAACUUUUAUAAAACCGUAAUUGAGUAUACUAAGUGGUAAAUAUCAUAACAAGGUUUUCAUACAUAUAAAGAACACAAAAAUCCGAGUUAUAACGAGGAAGUUAUAACCAUUCUAAAAUUCCCGACAAAACCGGCAACACCGAUUAAACGAAAAACGCGAAGUUUCAAUACAAUAGUUUUUAGCCUUAAGUAUCUAAAUGAAAGUUAUAUAUAACAUCAAACCGUGAGCGUACAUAAAAAGAACGUCCAAAUCUGACUUCGUAUGAGGAAGUUAUGAUUUUUCUAAGAUUCGGGUACAGCAGUAGACAACUAAAAACUCGAAAUAGAGCUCGAGAUACUUUUGACCAAAACAACCUAAAUGAGAAUCGAAGGUCUCAACAUUAGUAGCACAACGGCGAAAAGUCUGACGAAAACGGACAUAGGAUGAAGAAGUUAUGGAUUUUUAAUGGACUUUUCGUGUCCUGGCCCGUUAAAAAUAAAUAAUUAAAAAUAAAGUCAAAAUUUGCCGAUGAAGUCUAAACGAGAGUUGUAGAUAACAUUUUCAGAUACGCGUGCAUAUAAAGAACGUCAAAAACGGAGCUCGUAUGCGAAAGUUACGGAUUUUACAAGUUCGGGGUCCAAAAUCCGAGGCUGUCAGGCCCCCACGACGUGGCACAGCUUGGCCGCGACCCGGCAAGUGACUGAGGGCGUCCAAUCAACGGAAGGGGAUAAGGCUUGCUCCCCACGACGUGGCCAACCUUAGCCACGACGUGGCACACCAGAAAUGCCCCUAUAAAUAGAACUCUUGGGGUGCCGGGUUUAGGUGCUCCAUUCUUCCAUCUCUCGUGCUGAAACUCUGCGGUUAAGCUCCCGAAGCCCUCCCGAAGCCCCGGUUUUCACCUUCAAGUCCCGAAGGAAGGUUUUGUGUUCCCGAGAUUCCCGAGAUUCCCGAGAUUUUCCCGCGUUUCCAACUCUUCCNCUAUCAAGUGAGUUCAUAUCCCCUUCGAACACUCUUUAAAUACAUUUUAAAUGUUUUAUACUCUUUUUGGGGAGGAAUACAAGUAAACACACGACUAAAAUCGUGUGAAACAUCGAUCUUUUGCUAUACUUUUCAUAUUGUUGUUUUAACUAUCUUAUGAAGUUAUUAUCAUGCAAAACACCUCACAACAUAAAUUUACCCUCUUGGGGUACAAUAUGUUUUAUAAAUAGAAAUAGGUUUUAUUUAUACGUUUGCAUACUACAUCAUAUCAAGAGUAACCAUUUCAACUAUAACAUGAUGCUUUUACAAGAAAACUCAACUCAUCAUCACGUUUUUGUAACACGGUAGAAAACGAAAUCAUUUCAUACGAACGAUUUUCAUCAUAUUACUCGUGAACUUGUUGUUAGCAAUCAUGUGAUGGCAUAUGGCUUUGUUUGUACCAAACGAAAGUCCCCACCUAUAACCAGAGUCUCUUGGAGGGAGAGCAUGACAAGUGUGUAUAGAUCUAUACGGGGCUGACAACUCCGCACCCUGACUGUUAGCUACAGUCCGACAUUAAGGUGACAAAUGUCAACAUUAGGUACUGCGUCUAGUAUGGUUAUGAGGAACUCACAACACGUGGAAACAAUGACUCAUGCACGUAGUAAAACUUAACACAAUCAUGCUCGAGGGGUAAUAACUAUAUUCUAGGGUAUUAUCGGCAUGAUCAAAACUCAGGUUAAAACACUUCCACAACUAGUUUUACUUAACAAUAAGACCGCACUUCACUUUUACUAAAAUAAGGGAUUUUCCUGGUUCAAAUACAUUCAUUUUGUACAAUAACGAUUUACAACAUCAUUCUUUUGAGCAUGUCAUAGUUUCUUAUAGCUUACGGUCUUGGUCAUUUGAGACUGCAUUUCACUUUUAGGAAAAUAAGGGAUUUUCCUGGUUCAAAUACAUAUAGUACAUACAACAAUCUUUCAAACUCAUUUCAUACAUCAAAUAGAAAAUAAGGGAUUUUCUGGAAAACAUACACGCACUUUCGAAUGGCAUACAUUUUCUCAAAACACCACUUAUGAACUCACCAACUUAAAUGUUGACACUUUUUCUUUGAAAUAACUUGUAUUCUCAGGAAACCGCUAGACCAGGUAGCAACUACUUUUGAAGACUAACGCGCUGGCGUUAGUAACAUAUUUUGGAUCACCAUAUUGUAUUUGAUGUCUUUUGCAAAUAUGUAACACAUACAAUUAUGUAAACUUUUCAAAUAUAUAUAUAUAUGGUGGUGUGUACUUUCCUUUCUAUGAACUGUUAUGAUACUGAAUAUGACGUCCUCCGCCCCCGAACGUUUCCGCCGUUCUGGUUUGGGGGUGUGACAGAUUGGUAUCAGAGCAAUUGUUUAUAGUGAAUUAAGUAUAUCAAAACCAUUUUUGGUAUACAACUAUAAACACAACUGGGCAAAAACACUCUGAGUAAGAGUCAUACUUUUAAAAAUUAAAUUUAUUUAGUUUUUGUAAAGUAGGCAUGCAUUCAUUUCAUAUUAAUAAGAGGGUCGGUAUCAUAAUUAAAACAAUAUAGAAGUAUUAUAAAUAAGUUGUGCAGUGCAGGUAUGCCUUGGGACAUGUAAUCGGAACUGGGAAGAAUAUAGCCUGAUCAACUAUAUUUGUCCAAGAGCCGACUAACGUAUGCCAAGGAGUGUCUGCAAUGGACAACAAAUUUAAAACUUACCAAACUUAUAAACUUUAGAAUCAAACAUAACAUUUAGAAUACUAUAGGAGUAUUUUAUGCAUACGAUAGUUUAACUUUGAUGUCAACCUUAUGUGCCUUAGUUCUAGACAAUCCUUAUCUCCCUAUUCUCGUACAAACACAAUGGCCGGAUUUCCACCUAGCAGGAGACCCCUACUAUCCAUACCAGUUCCAUGUUUUAUAAAAGACCCUUUCACUUUAACCAUCGACUAAGGAAACUCGAUCGAUUUAUCACGACAAACCUGACACUAACCCCAAUUGGUUUCUAGUUUCAAAACCCCGAGGUACUCAUGUGAGGAGUACUAUAUCAUUACAACCUUCACGUAGUAUCCCCCGACAGAUCAUUUAGAAAUACCACACAUACAACGAGUCAAAUCCAAGCUCAAAAACUAGGAGUGAAUUCGAACAUGAACUUCAAAACGUAGCUGCCCUAAUGCAUCGAGUGAAUAUUCUAACAUUUAGAAGAACAGAAGUAAAUAAACCCAAAACCACACGAUCCCGAUCGGUCGAAGUGAUAGGCGGAGUAAUGAAGGUCCGCUGAAACACGCACAUUAGGAUCUAGAUUAAUAAAGGAACAAGAGGAACAAAUCGACCAGAAGCACUCACGCCUGCCCGGAAGAAUUGGAGUCCCGGUCAAAAUAGGAAUUUCGAGACGAAAUUCUCUCUAACGGGGGGAUAAUGUAACAACAGCAAAAUUCAGGUCAAAAUUUAAACUUUUAUAAAACCGUAUGUGAGUAUACUAAGUGGUAAAUAUCGUAACAAGGUUUUCAUAUAUAUAAAGAACACAAAAAUCCGAGUUAUAACGAGGAAGUUAUAACCAUUCUAAAAUUCUCGACAAAACCGGCAACACCGAUUAAACGAAAAAGGCAAAGUUUCAAUACAAUAGUUUUUAGCCUUAAGUAUCUAAAUAAAAGUUAUAGAUAACAUCAAACCGUGAGCGUACAUAAAAAGAACGUCCAAAUCUGACUUCGUAUGAGGAAGUUAUGAUUUUUCCAAGGUUCGGGUAUAGCAGUAGACAGCUAAAAACUCGAAAUAGAGCUCGAGAUACUUUUGACCAAAACAACCUAAAUGAGAAUCGAAGGUCUCAACAUUAGUAGCGCAACGGCGAAAACUCUGACGAAAACGGACAUAGG
rnacentral:lncRNA from 1 species